UGGGGAAUAUUGCACAAUGGGGGAAACCCUGAUGCAGCGACGCCGCGUGAACGAAGAAGGUAUUCGUAUCGUAAAGUUCUGUCCUAUGGGAAGAUAAUGACAGUACCAUAGAAGAAAGCUCCGGCUAAAUACGUGCCAGCAGCCACGGUAAUACGUAUGGAGCGAGCGUUGUCCGGAAUUAUUGGGCGUAAAGGGUACGCAGGCGGUUUAAUAAGUCGAAUGUUAAAGAUCGGGGCUCAACCCCGUAAAGCAUUGGAAACUGAUAAACUUGAGUAGUGGAGAGGAAAGUGGAAUUCCUAGCGUAGUGGUGAAAUACGUAGAUAUUAGGAGGAAUACCAGUAGCGAAGGCGACUUUCUGGACACAAACUGACGCUGAGGUACGAAAGCGUGGGGAGCAAACAGG
rnacentral:rRNA from 1 species